rnacentral:rRNA from 1 species
UACGUAGGGUCCGAGCGUUGUCCGGAAUUAUUGGGCGUAAAGGGCGUGCAGGCGGUCUUGCAAGUCCGAUGUGAAAGCCCCGGGCUCAACCCGGGAAGUGCAUCGGAAACCGCGAGACUUGAGUACGGGAGAGGGCAGUGGAAUUCCUGGAGUAGGGGUGAAAUCCGUAGAUAUCAGGAAGAACACCGGUGGCGAAGGCGGCUGCCUGGACCGAUACUGACGCUGAGACGCGAAAGCGUGGGGAGCAAACAGG